GUCCUAGCUGUAAACGAUGGGUACUAGCUUGGGGCCUCCCUGUGUGGUCCCAGGUGAAGCAAAUGUGAUAAGUACCCCGCCUGGGGAGUAUGGUCGCAAGGCUGAAACUCAAAAGGAAUUGACGGGGGCUCACACAAGCGGUGGAGCAUGUGGUUUAAUUCGAAGCAACGCGAAGAACCUUACCUAGGCUUGACAUGCAGGGAUUAGGCCGAUGAGAGUUGGCCGAUUGCCUUCGGGUGUAACCUGCACAGGUGUUGCAUGGCUGUCGU
rnacentral:rRNA from 1 species